rnacentral:lncRNA from 1 species
GGGUGCCUGAUAGCUGGAUGCUCUCCCCCAUGGGCCACAGACUGUCAGCCUCUCUUGUGCUUCUCAGUCUCCCCUUUUGAACAAUGUAAAGGUCUCAUGUGUUUUAUGGUCACUGGGGACUGCAGAAGAGGUGUUGAGCCAGAGUCCACUUCCUGCAAUCAAAGCUCAUCUCACCUGGAUGGCUCUUUGAGGUCAAAGCAGGCUGUUGUCAGCUGAGCAGGAUGAUCCUGAACAGAGGUGUCCUUUGCGGCAGGACGUGGCUCCUCAACCUGGGCUCUGCCAUUCCACAGACCAUCCUGACUGCAGCAUAGCUCUUGCUGCAGCUCCAUCAUGUUUUGUCAAGUUCAGUGAGGCUAUCUGG